AAAGCAGCAAUUUCCAUUUUACGACGACCUUCAUGCCAUUUUUACUGCAAGGAUGCAAAACAACUGGUGGAUCGAAGCCGAAGAUCGAUCGGGAGGCUCCAAAUGGAAAACCACCGAGCGAUUCUCUAGUGAGGAUCAGGACGGUAAUAAAGAAGAAAACGACGAAGACGAAGCAUUCGGGUCAAGUACGAAAAGGAAAAAGGGUACAAAAAAGGGGAGAUGGAUAAGAGAUCAAUUAGAACAUAAGAGGAAAUUGAAGGAAAUAUUGAAGGGUUUUGUGGAAAGAGAGAUGGAAAUGGAGAGGCAAUGGAGAGAAGCAUUUAGGGUUAGAGAGGAAGAGAGAAGGUUAAAAGA
rnacentral:misc_RNA from 1 species